CGCGCGCCACAUAGGUGCAAGGUUUAAUAAUAACCAGUCAUUGUAUAAUAUAAACGUAACGAUGCAUUAGUUAUUAAUAAAUAACUAACAUUUAUGUCACACCUCAGUUUUCAAAGGGAAAAGAGACUGUCUAAUCAGCGAAUGGAGGAUGUGGUGCAUGCAUACUUCUGGGAUUUAAAUGACUGUGGUGGCAAUACAGCAAUAUCUCAAGAGGAAGUAUGGCUUUCAGUUUGAAGAAAAGAGGAAGUGCUAAAGCAAACACAAAACAAUGGAAAAAACACGGAAACGUGACCUCUCAAUGUCAUCUCGGGCCGUUCUGCUUACUGUGACCAGGAUCUCCUAACCCAGAUUUCUGCUUCAAUAAACGUUUCUUCAGCCAGCAGUAUCUCCGAGACAGUUCAAAGGGUGGUUAAUUGCACUGCACUUGAGAACUGACAUGGUAGAAAUUUCAUUUUUUGUUAACUAAAGUUAUAUAAGAGCUGGAAAGUUCAUAAACAAAGAGCUGGAGAGUUUCACCGUUACAAGUUAAUAUAUAAAUGCGAUUAAAAAAGGGCAGGGAGGACAAAAACUCAAUUAAACUCAUUCUCACUAUUGCCUCUCUGAUUAUGUGGAAAACAUUAUCCACUAAAAUCACGUUAGCAAUAAUAUUUACUUUUUUGCCUUCCCCUUUUUAACAAUUGGAAUUUUGAAGGGAACCAUAACAAACCACAGGCCUUCGCUCCAGAACACCACCACUUUGAUCAAAAUGAAAUCAUCGCUUGCUCCGCAACGAUGGGCUGAUUGGUGCUCUCUCACUCACACAUGGUGCACACAUUUUUGGGAGCCCGUGCCUGAAACUCACAAGCGCUUGUGCUACUUUUGUGUUCAGGAAUAGGGGAUUGUCAUACGACUUUCAUUAGCGCCGCUAUGAAUGAUGAAUUGAUAUCCUUUUACAAUACACGACAAAAUGAAAUUAAAAGGUUUGCAAAAACCUCCUCUGAGAAAUAUGACGGUGCAUGUUUGCCAUUUAGUGUUUUUUGGGGGUUGUUUUUAUUAAGAUUUAAUAAAAGAUCACACAGUUGUUGUUGUUUUUUUCAU